rnacentral:rRNA from 1 species
GAUGAACGCUAGCUACAGGCUUAACACAUGCAAGUCGCGGGGCAGCAUGGGGGUUGCUUGCAAUCCCCGAUGGCGACCGGCGCACGGGUGAGUAACGCGUAUCCAACCUGCCCUUCACCACGGGAUAACCCGGCGAAAGUCGGACUAAUACCGUAUGUUGUCCAUUGACGGCAUCCGAUUUGGACGAAAGGCUUGGGGGUGAAGGAGGGGGAUGCGUCCGAUUAGCUGGACGGCGGGGUGACGGCCCACCGUGGCGACGAUCGGUAGGGGUUCUGAGAGGAAGGUCCCCCACACUGGAACUGAGACACGGUCCAGACUCCUACGGGAGGCAGCAGUGAGGAAUAUUGGUCAAUGGGCGUAAGCCUGAACCAGCCAAGUAGCGUGCAGGAGGACGGCCCUAUGGGUUGUAAACUGCUUUUAUGCGGGGAUAAAGUGGCCCACGUGUGGGUUUUUGCAGGUACCGCAUGAAUAAGGACCGGCUAAUUCCGUG